rnacentral:tmRNA from 1 species
AAACGCUGAAGAUAAUUUAGCAUACGCUGCCUAAUGGCAGCAGUCUGACCUAGAGCACUCACACUUUAGGACCCAGGCUUCGACUAUGUGAGAAACGACACAGGCUAAGCUUUGCACCUGUGGGCGUAUCAUGAAGCUACUAAAGCCACAAGGAUGUUUGUUUUCGUGCGGUGGAGGGAAUGUUAAAUAAUAAACUACACUCGUAGAAGGACAGGGAAUUGGUUUUUGGACACGGGUUCGACUCCCGUCUAGUCCACUA